rnacentral:rRNA from 1 species
GCGAAGUAGCUGAUUUCACACUGUCAAGAAAAGUCUCUAUCGAGGUUAAAGGUACCCGUACCGCAAACCGACACAGGUGGGUGAGGAGAGUAUCCUAAGGCCAGCGAGAGAACUGUUGUUAAGGAACUCGGCAAAAUGACCCCGUAACUUAGGGAUAAGGGGUGCCACCAUCAGGUGGCCGCAGAGAAUAGGCCCAAGCGACUGUUUACCAAAAACAUAGGUUUCUGCUAAGUCGCAAGACGAUGUAUAGGAGCUGACGCCUGCCCGGUGCUGGAAGGUUAA